AGUUACUCGGAACAAUGUCGGCGGCUGCCGUACAUCGUCGUCAUCUUAUGGUGUGGAAAAUUUUCGCGCCACGAUUCAUCUUCGAAGGAGUAUCAUUUAUUAUGACGUCAUUCGUUUUGGUCCUGGUGUUCGCGUUUGUAUUGAGAGCUGACAAGGCUUUGAAAAUUUGGUGCCUGACGUUGCAGAGUCGUGGAGAUAAGUCAUAGAAAUAAUUGAUACGAAAUAGCAAACUAAACUCUUCUCCCUGGGGGAAAGGUUUAUUUGCGAGGGACUCCUAGGGGUUUCUAGGAAACAAGGGAACAAUGCAUAUUUUGCAAGCGGAACAAGGGAACAAAGGCGAAAAGAUCAUGUAGGGAACAUGGGAACAUGUAAGCUUGAGGAACAUGGUGAAAUCUUUGUGGGGGAAUGAAAAAGGGAACACGGGUGACACAGCCCCCCCCCCUCCCUCCUACAGGAGGAAACCUAAACUAAACUAACAUUAUUUAUAACUUCUUUAUUUAAUACGUCAUUUCGGGAUGGUAAUAUGGAAAGUCACCCAACAUUUUUUAUAAGUGUUUCGCGAGUUUUUGAAGUAACUUCGAAUACGAAGUGUGCGGGAAUUUGAUGAUAAAUGACUCCCAAGUUUAUUAUUUAUAGAUAACUAGUGCUCAAUUGAUCUGAAGUCAGUAUUUUAUUAAGAUUUUUCCAUACGUUUCUCAAUCGGC